rnacentral:rRNA from 1 species
GUUGAACGCUGGCGGCAGGCCUAACACAUGCAAGUCGAGCGGUAACACAGAGAGCUUGCUCUCGGGUCACGAGCGGCGGACGGGUGAGUAAUGUCUGGGAAACUGCCGGAUGGAGGGGGAUAACUACUGGAAACGGUAGCUAAUACCGCAUAACGUCGCAAGACCCAAGAGGGGGACAUUCUGGCCUCUUGCCAUCAGAUGUGCCCAGAUGGGAUUAGCUAGUAGGUGGGGUAACGGCUCACCUAGGCGACGAUCCCUAGCUGGUCUGAGAGGAUGACCAGACACACUGGAACUGAGACACGGUCCAGACUCCUACGGGAGGGAGCAGUGGGGAAUAUUGCACAGUGGGCGCAAGCCUGAUGCAGCCAUGCCGCGUGUAUGAAGAAGGCCUUCGGGUUGUAAAGUACUUUCAGCGGGGAGGAAGGUGUUGAGGUUAAUAACCUCAGCAAUUGACGUUACCCGCAGAAGAAGCACCGGCUAACUCCGUGCCAGCAGCCGCCGUAA